rnacentral:rRNA from 1 species
AUUGAACGCUGGCGGCAGGCUUAACACAUGCAAGUCGAGCGGAGAUGAGGUGCUUGCACCUUAUCUUAGCGGCGGACGGGUGAGUAAUGCUUAGGAAUCUGCCUAUUAGUGGGGGACAACAUUCCGAAAGGAAUGCUAAUACCGCAUACGCCCUACGGGGGAAAGCAGGGGAUCUUCGGAACUUGCGCUAAUAGAUGAGCCUAAGUCGGAUUAGCUAUUUGGUGGGGUAAAGGCCUACCAAGGCGACGAUCUGUAGCGGGUCUGGGAGGAUGAUCCGCGACACUGGGACUGAGACACGGCCCAGACUCCUACGGGAGGCAGCAGUGGGGAAUAUUGGACAAUGGGCGGAAGCCUGAUCCAGCCAUGCCGCGUGUGUGAAGAAGGCCUUUUGGUUGUAAAGCACUUUAAGCGAGGAGGAGGCUACCUGGAUUAAUACUCUAGGAUAGUGGACGUUACUCGCAGAAUAAGCACCGGCUAACUCUGUGCCAGCAGCCGCCGUAAUAC